UCCUUCCUGUUAAAGCAGGCUAAAAUUGUAGAACUAAGCUUAGUCUAGUUCUGCAAUAAUGCUCACUCUGGUACACACAGAAAGGAGUAAAAUGCAGUAUCUUCAAAAUGAGAUGAGGACGGAUCUCUUAAUGUCCAUUGUCUUUCAUCUCGUGAGACAGUGCAACACAU